CCAAGAAUGAGGCCGGUCCCCAUGAUGAAGAAUGGCACCAUCAAACUCUGCGUCAAGUCCUGCAUCAGACCUGCAGGAGGGAGAGAGGUGAAGAGUGGUGGCAGCCUAGUGGACCGGUGCAGUGUGUUUUGUGUGUCACUGCUGCAGCCUUCUCAUUGCACUUCUCAGCAUACUCUGAGCUGGCCCGAAUCUUCCUGAGAUGCUGAUGGUAGAGUAUCUGCUCCUGCAGCUCCAGAGGCCUCAUCAGCAUUCCAAAAACUGCAAUGUGCAUCAUAACGCCUGCUAGAAGGAUGAAGGUUCCCUGCAGCCCAAAUUGCUCAUUGAAGAACACCACCAUUGGGGAGAACAGAAAGCCUCCCAUGGGGUUCCCGGAGGCUCGGAUGCCAUUAGCAAAGGAGAGCCUCUCUACAAAGUAAUCAGUGACCAGUAGUAUACCAGGUGUCUCACUCAUGCAGAUGCCGAUACCUGCAAAGAAAUGCAUUCAUUGUGAGCUUAACCUCUGCCAGUAACAGCAUGUGCAAUAAGAUAAGAAAGCAAUAAGUAAGCCAUUAAAAUGUCACCAAGUAAA